rnacentral:rRNA from 1 species
GUAGGUGGCAAGCGUUGUCCGGAAUUAUUGGGCGUAAAGCGCGCGCAGGCGGUUCUUUAAGUCUGAUGUGAAAGCCCACGGCUCAACCGUGGAGGGUCAUUGGAAACUGGAGAACUUGAGUACAGAAGAGGAAAGCGGAAUUCCACGUGUAGCGGUGAAGUGCGUAGAGAUGUGGAGGAACACCAGUGGCGAAGGCGGCUUUCUGGUCUGUAACUGACGCUGAGGCGCGAAAGCGUGGGGAGCAAACAGGGAUUAGAUACCCUGGUAGUCCACGCCGUAAACGAUGAGUGCUAAGUGUUAGGGGGUUUCCGCCCCCUUAGUGCUGCAGCUAACGCAUUAAGCACUCCGCCUGGGGAGCACGGCCGCAAGGCUG